rnacentral:lncRNA from 1 species
AGAAAAACCCCUAGGGUGACUCUGCAGCUCAGGUGUGUUUUGCCCGUUUCUGACUGGUAGGAGUGCAGGACAGAAGCAAGGCAACGGCACUGAGCUCUGCCCCAAGCUGGAACCAGCCCAGAGGCAGCAGGAAGGUGGAGGAGGAGAUGGAGGAUGAGCAGUGGUCUGCCCAUUACUGUGGGGCUGUGCUCUGCAGCACCCAGCAACGCUCAGAACUGAUGCAUUAAAAACACCUUCAAAAAGCAGCUCUUUAAUGGGAGAGAUGCGCUUGCCGAGAGCUGGCUGCUUUCAGAAACUGCGGUGAGCUUCAAUGCAACAGCACAGCGUGAUUGAAGGAGGGGGAGCAGUGACGAUGGGAUUAGGUA